CCUACGGGAGGCAGCAGUGAGGAAUAUUGGUCAAUGGCCGGGAGGCUGAACCAGCCAAGUCGCGUGAGGGAAGACGGCCCUAUGGGUUGUAAACCUCUUUUGUCGGGGAGCAAAGUCAGCCACGCGUGGGUGUUGGAGAGUACCCGAAGAAAAAGCAUCGGCUAACUCCGUGCCAGCAGCCGCGGUAAUACGGAGGAUGCGAGCGUUAUCCGGAUUUAUUGGGUUUAAAGGGUGCGUAGGCGGGAGAUCAAGUCAGCGGUAAAAUCGUGGAGCUCAACUCCAUCGAGCCGUUGAAACUGGUGAUCUUGAGUGGGCGAGAAGUAUGCGGAAUGCGUGGUGUAGCGGUGAAAUGCAUAGAUAUCACGCAGAACUCCGAUUGCGAAGGCAGCAUACCGGCGCCCGACUGACGCUGAUGCACGAAAGUGUGGGUAUCGAACAGGAUUAGAUACCCGAGUAGUC
rnacentral:rRNA from 1 species